CACUAAGAAGCUAUGAACCAGCACUAGCCUUUUAAGCUAGAGAAAGAGGAAACCCCCCUCCUUAGUGA
rnacentral:tRNA from 1 species